UGGGGCGUAGCCAAGGGGUAAGGCAACGGGUUUUGGUCCCGCUAUUCGGAGGUUCGAAUCCUUCCGUCCCAGC
rnacentral:tRNA from 3 species